rnacentral:rRNA from 1 species
GAUGAACGCUGGCGGCGUGCCUAACACAUGCAAGUCGAACGGAGUCGUUUUGGAAAUCUCUUCGGAGAUGGAAUUCUCGACUUAGUGGCGGACGGGUGAGUAACGCGUGAGCAAUCUGCCUUUAAGAGGGGGAUAACAGUCGGAAACGGCUGCUAAUACCGCAUAAAGCAUUAAAUUCGCAUGUUUUUGAUGCCAAAGGAGCAAUCCGCUUUUAGAUGAGCUCGCGUCUGAUUAGCUAGUUGGCGGGGUAACGGCCCACCAAGGCGACGAUCAGUAGCCGGACUGAGAGGUUGAACGGCCACAUUGGGACUGAGACACGGCCCAGACUCCUACGGGAGGCAGCAGUGGAGAAUAUUGCGCAAUGGGGGAAACCAUGACGAAGCAACGCCGCGUGAUUGAAGAAGGCCUUCGGGUUGUAAAGAUCUUUAAUCAGGGACGAAACAAAUGACGGUACCUGAAGAAUAAGCUCCGGCUAACUACGUG